rnacentral:rRNA from 1 species
UAGGGAAUCUUCGGCAAUGGACGAAAGUCUGACCGAGCAACGCCGCGUGAGUGAAGAAGGUUUUCGGAUCGUAAAACUCUGUUGUUAGAGAAGAACAAGGACGUUAGUAACUGAACGUCCCCUGACGGUAUCUAACCAGAAAGCCACGGCUAACUACGUGCCAGCAGCCGCGGUAAUACGUAGGUGGCAAGCGUUGUCCGGAUUUAUUGGGCGUAAAGCGAGCGCAGGCGGUUUCUUAAGUCUGAUGUGAAAGCCCCCGGCUCAACCGGGGAGGGUCAUUGGAAACUGGGAGACUUGAGUGCAGAAGAGGAGAGUGGAAUUCCAUGUGUAGCGGUGAAAUGCGUAGAUAUAUGGAGGAACACCAGUGGCAAAGGCGGCUCUCUGGUCUGUAACUGACGCUGAGGCUCGAGAGCGUGGGGAGCAAACAGG